rnacentral:rRNA from 1 species
AUUGAACGCUGGCGGCAUGCCUUACACAUGCAAGUCGAACGGCAGCGGGCCUUCGGGUGCCGGCGAGUGGCGAACGGGUGAGUAAUGCAUCGGAACGUGCCAUUGAGUGGGGGAUAACGUAGCGAAAGUUACGCUAAUACCGCAUAUUCUGUGAGCAGGAAAGCAGGGGACCGCAAGGCCUUGCGCUCUUUGAGCGGCCGAUGUCAGAUUAGCUAGUUGGUGAGGUAAAGGCUUACCAAGGCGACGAUCUGUAGCGGGUCUGAGAGGAUGAUCCGCCACACUGGAACUGAGACACGGUCCAGACUCCUACGGGAGGCAGCAGUGGGGAAUUUUGGACAAUGGGCGCAAGCCUGAUCCAGCCAUGCCGCGUGAGUGAAGAAGGCCUCGGUUGUAAAGGUACUCUUUCGGUCCGGG